rnacentral:rRNA from 1 species
AAGGGCCAUCGCUCAACGGAUAAAAGGUACUCCGGGGAUAACAGGCUGAUACCGCCCAAGAGUUCAUAUCGACGGCGGUGUUUGGCACCUCGAUGUCGGCUCAUCACAUCCUGGGGCUGAAGUAGGUCCCAAGGGUAUGGCUGUUCGCCAUUUAAAGUGGUACGCGAGCUGGGUUUAGAA